rnacentral:rRNA from 1 species
CUACGUGCCAGCAGCCGCGGUAAUACGGAAGGUCCGGGCGUUAUCCGGAUUUAUUGGGUUUAAAGGGAGCGUAGGCUGGAGAUUAAGUGUGUUGUGAAAUGUAGACGCUCAACGUCUGACUUGCAGCGCAUACUGGUUUCCUUGAGUACGCACAACGUUGGCGGAAUUCGUCGUGUAGCGGUGAAAUGCUUAGAUAUGACGAAGAACUCCGAUUGCGAAGGCAGCUGACGGGAGCGCAACUGACGCUGAAGCUCGAAGGUGCGGGUAUCGAACAGGAUUAGAUACCCUGGUAGUCCGCACAGUAAACGAUGGAUGCCCGCUGUUGGUACCUGGUAUCAGCGGCUAAGCGAAAGCAUUAAGCAUCCCACCUGGGGAGUACGCCGGCAACGGUGAAACUCAAAGGAAUUGACGGGGGCCCGCGCAAGCGGAGGAACAUGUGGUUUAAUUCGAUGAUACGCGAGGAACCUUACCCGGGCUUGAAUUGCAGAGGAAGUAUUUAGAGAUA